CCUUUCCUCUCCCACAUAUCCCUCCGCCUCCACCGCCACGAGCAUCUCCAGCGGGAUAGGAACUGGCUCCGCUCUCAUCACAUGGAGCCACACCAACGUCGUCGUCUCGAGGGGGGAGUGGGUGGGAGGGGAAGAUGGCGGCGGCGGCGGUUUCGAUCUGUGAUGUGCCUCGAUGCGCGAGGGCGCCGCCGCCAGCGAGUGCUCCCCUCGAAUAGGCAAGGAGCGCUGCCCUUGGCCCACGCGAUGACGGCCGCGAACUGCGCCUCCACCCGUGUAUGCGCGACCGUGCGUGCUCUCUCCUAGGUCGCCCCUCCACUCUUUCUCAGUUUAUCGGAUCCUCCUCGCCCCCUAGCUCUUUACCUGUGUUCGUCUUGGCCGAAGGUGGUCGUGGGUCUCGCGCUCGGACAGUUCAUCCGGCUGCUUAUGACCUCCAUCAGAAUCUCCUACGAGCUUGCCUGCCGAGGUACGUAACAUGGUCGCCUCCACCUCUAGCUCCUCUAUUUGUUUCUUGAUUGGAUUGGGUUGCAAAAAUUAUUGUUCAGAGGUGGCUGCAGCUAUGCAAUUACUAUCUCAAAUUUUAUUUUGGCUUUGAGCUUGUAGAUGCCAGCACUGCUUGUUUGUAUAAAUGCUCAAGAAGACUGCUCAGAGGAGGACAAUUUGUGUCUGUGAGGGAUGGGGAAACAGACAAUGCGAGCACUACCUGUUUGUAUAAAUGCUGAAGGAGAAAAGUGUUGGGAGAAGGACAUGUGUGUGUGUGUGUGUGUGUGUGUGUGUGUGUGUGUGAGAGAGAGAGAGAGAGAGAGAGAGAGUGAGAGAGGUGAAGAGCAAGGAGAACCACAUGUUGUCCCUUUGUCAUCGACACCAUCCCGCCGUUACAGGCUUGUCCCGAUGGCCUUUUUGUUGGUGAGCUGUUACCCUGCCCUGGUUCUUUGUCUCUUCCUCUUUCAUGGAUUAUAGACCAUGGUACCUUCAUCUGUUGUCGACAGUUUCCUCUUUCAGAUUUGAUGUUAGUUUGUACAAGCUACUGGGUUGUGCUUAGAUGGUAUGGUUUCUCUGCUAUUUAGAAACUACACCUAACACUCAGAAAGUACAAUGAUCAUAGCCUAAACUGAAAUAUUUAUUUUGGCGGGUUUAAUAUUUAUUUUGGUCGGACCCUUCCCUGGACCCUGCGCAAGCGGGAGCUACAUGCACCAAGUUGCCCUUUUUAAAAAAAAAAUUUGAUGUGGGAUGGGCAUACGAGUUUUGAUGUCUGCAGUCCUCUCUGAGCUGCAAGUCGCUCGACAACACCACAAAUUCAGUUACAGAUUUUUACCAAAGCUAGCUGAAAUGAAGUUCAGUUCAGUAGACCAUGUCUGUUGGAAGGAAGCAAAUUUCUUGCCUUCCGAAUCCUAUGUAGCCAUCAUAUUUUAUUUCAGACUGAAUCGUCCCAGCUCAGUGUAUCCUUGCUAAAAUAAGAACAUCAUUUUAUUUUUAUUUUUUUGAGGGGAUGCCACAAAACAAAAACUGACCAGGACUGCAUCUCUCAUAUUUUCUUGAUUAGAUUGUUAAUCUGAAUUCGUGUUUGAUAUUGUAGUAUGGAGGUUUCACCAUGAUGCAUGUUCCGUUGUCGUUUGUUUUCCAUCUGCUUUGAUAUUGAUUUACAAGAUAGUAAGUUUUAUACGUGUGGUUGGAUGCAUGUCAAUCUUUACAGUUUGAUGACAAGAUUUAUCCAAGGAAGAAAAACUAAUAUUAGUAACAGUUUUGCUAAAGCACAUCUAGAUGUGCCAUAAGUAUUGCACAUCUAAGUCCUAUAUCAUUGAUUUUACAUCGAGAUUCGUGUGGAUAUUUUCCUUUUUCUUUUUCUUUUUCAUCUUUAUGCUUGAUUCACUCACUUAAAUGUGCAAUAAUUAGAGCACAUCUAGAUGUACACUAGACACACCCUAUUAGUAAUUACGUGUCAUAUAUAGAUGCAGAUCCGAGUUGCCAUAAUGGAAUAUGGAUGGACAACACAAAAUAGUCCAGUUCCUUAAUUUUGUGUUUAUGGAAGUAUAUGGUUCAGCCUCUACUGUCCAACACGAAUUGACAAUAAUUGACACAAACCUGUGCGCGUUUACUCUGAACGGUAAUGUAGUGCAUGAAUGCUACACACUCUCAAUCGCUCUUUUUCCAUGUUGGCAUCCUACUUCGUUUAAUCAUGGUGAUUUUUCUUGCAGAUAACAACAUUCUUGCAAGCUUGAUUCCCAUCAUCAAUUGAAUACUCUUGGUAAGUAAAGUGGAAGAAUGGGAUGACGGGGAUCUUAAUAUGUACGUUCAUCACCAUGUCCCUCUCAGAAUUUCCACUAUGCAUGGCCUGGAUGGAUUUUAACUUUAAGGAUGGCUAGAAAGAAGGUAAAACUGUGGUAUCACUUGAGUUUUGAGAAGCAAGGAGUUCCUAUUUAUUUCUGUAAAAAAUUAAAAAAAAACUAAGGCCUUUUCUAUUCCUCAUGUUGUUGCUUCCUCAAGAUCUCUUUUUAUUGGAAAUUUCAUUGUUGUUGGCACUGUAGAUGCUGCAAUUGAAAUACGAGGUUGUUACUUCAUGUUGUUUUGCUUCAGAAAUAUUUAUGUUUUGUUGUUGGACUUUGAUGUUAUUAAGAGGAUGAUGAGGUCGGGCCGCAUGUUGUGCUAGGAGGAUUUUUAGAAAACCAAGAAAAGGUUAAGAGAGAAAAGGUAUGCUACUCCCUCCAAUCCAUAUUACUUGCCAGUCAAACAUAUGUAUCUUGCACUGAAAUAUGUCUAGAUACAUCCGCUUGAGCGACAAAUAAUAUGGAUCGAGGGCAGUACUAUAUUUCAUUGUUGAGCUACUUUGAACUUUGUUAUUGCUUCUCAUGAGAUGAUUCACUAAUUAGCUAUCUUAAAUACUCCUUCUCUUGUUCUGUUGUAAAGUCUUACUGAAAAUUUUAUGCAAUUUCCCUAGAAUUUCCAUGGCAAUCUCAGUAGGUUAUCAUGUGGGACAUCUGCAAUCUGGUCUCGUAAUUGAUAAUUUAAGCUAGACUAGAUUGAGAUUGGUGGGUAUGUGAUCUAACAUUGUGGCAGUCUGUUACAUGUGUAGCUUACUAGCUUGUGAUCCCCAAAAUGUGCGAAAAUGACUGGUUGAGGUCCAGGCUAAUUCUGGUGAAUGGGUCCUCACAUUAUUUUUUUGCCCGGUCCGAUUAAUCAUUGUAGUAGUUAUUAUGGAAUCAUCACAUUCAACAAUAUGAGCAAAAUCUUGCAUUAUCUUGCUCAGAUUUUUCCCACUGAGCUGGACAAGACCAAAUAUACAGUCACGUCAGUUUCUUAUUUUCCGAAAUUUAACUCUAUUUGGUAGAUAUAUGUAGCUCAUCUAUAAGUACAUGUUGAUAUUACGGUGAUAUUAAUACAUUGAAUUAUUUGGAAAGAACAGAAUGUCAGAGAGUUUGAGGCUAUCAUUGAUGAGACAUCCUGGAGAGUUGCAAGUUGCUUGUCUUGUUUCGAAUCAUGUUCCUGUUGUUUUCCCCCUGCUGAGAGUGUAUUAUGUGGAAAGUGUAAUCAUCAUGCUCUCUGAGGCCAUGUAGAAUUGCAGCACUGUUUUCUUAAAAAUUGACCUUGUAAAUUCUUGUUUUCUUAUAAUUGAUCAUGUAACCCUUUGAUAUAA